rnacentral:lncRNA from 10 species
UCCAGGUUGGGUGCAGGGAUGGGUAUUUCUGGGCUCAGCCUCUCCUUGAGUGGGGCUUGCUGGGGCUGCUGUCGGGGAUGGGAGUGUGGUUCCCAGGCCGACGGAAUUAUGUUCCCAGGGGCAUUAUGGCUGCCUCUGCUGAGUCAUACAGGUCCCCAUGGAAGUGAAGGAAAGCCAGCAGUCAUAGGCCUCACCCUACUCCCAUGCAGCCUGCAGUCCUAAAGGCCAGUGUUACUCCCACUGUGCCCCCACCAACAGCACCGACUCUAUUUCCAGGCCGCUGGUGACCAGGGCUGAGAAGUUGCCCCAGACCAUGAGCCUCCCCACUGAUAAAGCAAGCCGACUCAGUUUUUCAGCCUCUCAGGGAGCCUGCAGUGGUGAUCAAGUUUCUUCAAAGGGUCUGUGGAUUCUCUCAGAUUUUCUGAUAUGUUCCUGGCAUAGUCCUUGGAACAAAAGUUCAUAAUGUAAAAAUGGGUAAUUG